rnacentral:rRNA from 1 species
AGUGAACGCUGGCGGUAGGCCUAACACAUGCAAGUCGAACGGCAGCACAGUAAGAGCUUGCUCUUACGGGUGGCGAGUGGCGGACGGGUGAGGCAUACAUCGGAAUCUACUUUUUCGUGGGGGAUAACGUAGGGAAACUUAUGCUAAUACCUCAUACGACCUACGGGUUAAAGCAUGGGAUCUUCGGACCUUGCGCGCUUUAAUGAGCCGAUGUCGGAUUAGCUAGUUGGCGGGGUAAAGGACCACCAAGGCGACGAUCCGUAGCUGGCCUGAGAGGAUGGUCGGCCAAACUGGGACUGAGAACAGGCCCAGACCCCGACGGGAGGAAGCAGGAGGGAAUCUUCGGCAAUGGGGGCAACCCUGAACGAGCAACGCCGCGGGAGGGAAGAAGGUUUUCGGAUCGGAAAGCUCUGUUGUAAGUCAAGAACGGGGGUGAGAGUGGAAAGUUCACACGGUGACGGUAGCUUACCAGAAAGGGACGGCUAACUACGUG